UACGUAGGCGGUUUAUUAAGUCAGAUGCGAAAGCCCCGGGCUUAACCUGGGAACUGCAUUUGAUACUGGUAAACUAGAGUAUGGUAGAGGGGGGUAGAAUUCCUAGUGUAGCGGUGAAAUGCGUAGAUAUUAGGAGGAAUACUAGUGGCGAAGGCGGCCCCCUGGACCAAUACUGACGCUGAGGUACGAAAGCGUGGGUAGCGAACA
rnacentral:rRNA from 1 species